AUGGCGAAUACAGAUCUGUUCGAUGCAUAUUUCAAGAGAGCAGAUUUGGACUGCGACGGUCAGAUCAGUGGAGCUGAAGCCGUUGCUUUCUUUCAAGGUUCUGGUUUGCCCAAACAAGUCCUCGCUCAGGAAUUUUCGCUGAAGCAGGAGAAAAGCUGGUUUCCUUGGUCGUCAAGAGUUCUAUAAUGCUCUUAAGCUUGUUACUGUGGCACAAAGUA
rnacentral:misc_RNA from 1 species